rnacentral:lncRNA from 1 species
UCUUUAUUGAAGUUUCUCCACCUGGUGAAUCCAAGCCUCCUAAGCUGUGACUUUAGCCCCAGCGUUUCACAGAACAAAGGUCAUUCCCUCCCCAGGAAGCAUCGUGAGGACAACUCUUAAAGAAAAUUAAAACGUUUAUUCAGGUUGCUUUAUUUCUUCAGUACUUGGCACUCAGAAUAACAGAUAAUUUGAACAACAGCUGUAAUCUGCUGAGAUCUACUACGUGCCAGGACCAACGUGAAGGUAGAGCAAGCUCCUGUGACAGGAGGCGGGGCAAUGACGAGUGGCUGAAGGAAUGCAGGGAUUUGUUCCUCUCUAGCUCAAGAGAGAAAGGCUCAGGCCAUACACAGAGAAAGGAGAGCGAUGAAAACCUCCUGAGAAGGGUUAUGGAAGACGUCACUGAGGUCCAGUGCGCCACGCCACUUCUCCAGGUAGCCGAGGCCUUGGUGUCAGACUCAUCUACUCGACGCAGACUUUUUUGGAUCUAGUGAGUCUCCUUUGAGAUCGUUUGGACCGGCAGAGCGUGAAAGUAUACACCUUAUGAACCCACAUACAACGGCU